rnacentral:rRNA from 1 species
GGGGGAUAUUGCACAAUGGGGGAAACCCUGAUGCAGCGACGCCGCGUGGAGGAAGAAGGUUUUCGGAUUGUAAACUCCUGUCGUUAGGGACGAUAAUGACGGUACCUAACAAGAAAGCACCGGCUAACUACGUGCCAGCAGCCGCGGUAAAACGUAGGGUGCAAGCGUUGUCCGGAAUUACUGGGUGUAAAGGGAGCGCAGGCGGGAAGACAAGUUGGAAGUGAAAACCAUGGGCUCAACCCAUGAAUUGCUUUCAAAACUGUUUUUCUUGAGUAGUGCAGAGGUAGAUGGAAUUCCCGGUGUAGCGGUGGAAUGCGUAGAUAUCGGGAGGAACACCAGUGGCGAAGGCGGUCUACUGGGCACCAACUGACGCUGAGGCUCGAAAGCAUGGGUAGCAAACAGGAUUAGAUACCCUGGUAGUCCAUGCCGUAAACGAUGAUUACUAGGUGUUGGGGGAUUGACCCCCUCAGUGCCGCAGUUAACACAAUAAGUAAUCCACCUGGGGAGUACGACCGCAAGGUUGAAACUCAAAGGAAUUGACGGGGGCCCGCACAAGCAGUGGAGUAUGUGGUUUAAUUCGAAGCAACGCGAAGAACCUUACCAGGUCUUGACAUCCGAUGCAUAGCACAGAGAUGUGUGAAAUCCUUCGGGACAUCGAGACAGGUGGUGCAUGGUUGUCGUCAGCUCGUGUCGUGAGAUGUUGGGUUAAGUCCCGCAACGAGCGCAACCCUUAUUGCCAGUUACUACGUUAAGAGGACUCUGGCGAGACUGCCGUUGACAAAACGGAGGAAGGUGGGGAUGACGUCAAAUCAUCAUGCCCUUUAUGACCUGGGCUACACACGUACUACAAUGGCGUUUAACAAAGAGAAGCAAGACCGCGAGGUGGAGCAAAACUCAAAAACAACGUCUCAGUUCAGAUUGCAGGCUGCAACUCGCCUGCAUGAAGUCGGAAUUGCUAGUAAUCGCGGAUCAGCAUGCCGCGGUGAAUACGUUCCCG